rnacentral:lncRNA from 12 species
AUGUUCUCUGCACACGUGACGCUCUGUCCUCUUGUUCCUCCUGCCCCAGAGCCCCUGCCCCUUCCCCAGAUCUGGGCCAAGGAUCGGUUCAUUACCCCAGGCUGGUGCAAUGUCACCGUGAAGUGUGACACCAUGGGAACCAGGGAGGACCUGACCCUGUCCUGGGAGAGGAAGAGACUCCCCAGGGAACUGGAACAACGAGUGGCCCCAGGACCAGCUCCCAACCCUUGGACCCUGGCUCUGAGCCUGCCUCUCAGCCAGCCCAGGACCAGCCUCACCUGUGUGCUCAGCAACCAAGAGGACCAGAAAACUGUCACCUUGGACCUUGGGGACAUCUGUGGCCACGAUCCACAGGGACAGGCUGAUGCCUCCCAACUACCCAGCAUCCUGGGGACUGUUGUGGUCCUGCUGCUGAUCCUGGGAGCUGGACUGUUCCUCUGGAGGACACGAGUGAAGAAGAGCCUGGAGCCUGGGAGAGGUGCAGGGUCGCAGGAGGAGCAUAGGGAUCCCGAUAGUGGCAUCUACUAUGCAGAGCUGAGCCAGCAGGGGUCUGGAGACAGCAGGGACAAGGGUAGAGGUGCAGCACAUCUGGAAGGGAACAAGCCUCUCACUACUGUCUACAGUGAGGUCCGCAGGGCAGGCGUGGCCCUGAUGAGGAUUUAAUUGGAAGAAGCCGGAGAAUCCCGCCCUCCGGGGACAGCUGUCUUGGGAGCAUGAUGCCUGCAGCUCUGGUCUCACCUCUUCCUCCUCUGACUCCUCUGGUGAGGGACUGGCUGGUCCAAGCAUCAGUUAGUGUCUAUGCUAAGUGGUUCUGCACACGUUUGCGAUUAGACAUCUGUAGGUCUUUCAAGAGGGGAAACUGAGUAAAUAAAUUGACAGAAACAUGUGUCA